rnacentral:rRNA from 1 species
UACGUAGGGGGCUAGCGUUGUCCGGAAUCAUUGGGCGUAAAGCGCGUGUAGGCGGCCCGGUAAGUCCGCUGUGAAAGUCGGGGGCUCAACCCUCGGAUGCCGGUGGAUACUGUCGGGCUCGAGUACGGAAGAGGCGAGUGGAAUUCCUGGUGUAGCGGUGAAAUGCGCAGAUAUCAGGAGGAACACCGGUGGCGAAGGCGGGUCUCUGGGCUGUGAACUGACGCUGAGGAGCGAAAGCGUGGGGAGCGAACAGG